ACCCGGAUGCUGGCUGUGGGCAUUGUUAUCGGCGUUGUCCUGCCGGUCGUUGCUGUGAUGGGCGCAGCUGGUUACUUCCGCAGGAGACGGGGAGUGGGACACAGAGCGGUACUGCACAGAGCAGUGCCCGCCCAUGAAGCCUUGCAGAGCCAAGCCCCAGAGAGAGAAACUCAGGAGAGAGAAGCCUUGGAGAGCUGCAGUUAAUGGAUCCCGGUGGAGCCUGCACCGCCUGCGGAGGGGCCAGGGAGUAGGAGAGGGAACAGCACAAAACAACGCAUUACAGCCCAAAAGCUUUUCCUUUUUGAUUUAAAGAAGUUUUUCCUGUUCCAAGCCAAAUCGAGUCCAAAUACAAAUCCGUGAGUCAGUCCAGAACCGUAAGCAGCCCCACAACUGGCAAACAUCCUCCGCCCUCACCAGGGGCUUCAGAUCUUUCCGAAGUCUUGGUGGGCAUCCUACGUGCAGGCCCAAGCCCAGAGGCUGGGGUUUGGAUGCCCCCAAGUUUCGCCUGCCCUCAGCUGUAUGGCUGCAGGAGCAAGCUAGGGAGGAGCCUCCCGUUUCCAUAAAGUGGGCUUCAAGCCCCAGCACCUCGGCGGGUACUAAACCACGCCAGAAGAACAGUUAUCCCUGGGAAUGCUUAAGGAAAACUGCCUACUUGAACCCAGAUACAUGGUGUUUCUCUGAUUUAGCCUAUACCACUGCUGUUAUUUUACCCUUCCAGAUACCUUGAUCUUGCCAGAGCAGAGCCCCUUGCUGUGGGACAACAGACAGCUGGCGUGCCAAGUGAGAAGGGCUUGGCUACAGCCGAGGGGGAGUGGGGAAAAACCCUGUCUGACCCCAGCACUCUCCUGCCCAGGGCAGGGGGUUCGCAGUUGAUCGUCUAAUCGGUCUCUUCUGACCCUAGAAAUCUAUGAAACUAUGAAAGGUGGUGGGAUUUGGGUGCUGCUUGUUGCAGGUUUAGACCCAAGUUUGCUUUUUAAUAAAGAGCAGGCAGAGGCGAGAUGCCCUCGGCGAUGUUUCUCCCCAGGCAGACGGGCAGGGAGCGCACUGAACUGCGCAGUGCCUGGGUCAGGCCUGAGGGCAACCUUUUGGCCAGCUGAGCGAUUGGGGCCGUCUGCAGCAGUCCUGGGCUCUGGGGCCCAGGCCCGGGCCCAGCCCCAGCCCUGCCUGCCCCCCACGUGUGGGGUUGGGUCCUGGGCUUGAGAGGUGACCUUGUGGCUGCCUAUAAGUUCAUCAUGGGGGCACAGAAGGGAAUUGGUGAGUAUUUAUUCACCAAGGCGCCCCCGGGGGUUACAAGAAACAAUGGCCACAAGCUAGCAGAGAGCAGAUUUAGACUGGACAUUAGGAAGAGCUUCUUCACAGUUCGAGUGGCCAAGGUCUGGAACGGGCUCCCAAGGGAGGUGGUGCUCUUCCCUACCCUGGGGGUCUUCAAGAGGAGGUUGGAUAUGCAUCUAGCUGCGGUCAUCUAGACCCAGCACUCUUUCCUGCCUAUGUAGGGGGUCGGACUCGAUGAUCUACUGAGGUCCCUUCCGACCCUAACAUCUAUGAAUCUAUGAAAUCAGCUUGUGAUGUAGCCUGGGGCCAGGUGCCUGGACAGCCCAGGUCAAGGCCAUGGGCAGAGGCAGCCAAAUGCUCUGACCUUUGGCCCUGGACACUGCCUCAGACACUGCGAUUGUUUUUUCCCUUUUCUUCCUUUUCUUUCUUGUGGGAGGGGGUGAGAUUGGGUGAGGAGAGCUUGAGUGUAAGAGCUUUUAUAUAUAUAUAUAUAUAUAUGUAUAUAAAAUGAAGUGCAUGUCUGGAUGUGAGUUUGCUUAUAACUCGAGAACAGCUGGUGCAGCCAGGAGCGGGGAGGACGGAGUGGGGAGUCUUCCUUGCCCUGCCCUGCCCCACCGCUGCAGCAACUUGCAUCGUGGGGCGGGUCUGCAAGCGUGGGAGUUGCCCCGCGGAGGUCAGACCCGGGAGGAAACGUCCUGGGAAGUGAUGGGCGGUGUGGUGCGUGCCCAGGCCCGGGGUGCUCAUGGCUGUGCUGGUCCAGGCGGUCAGACAUUUCUCCACCCCACGGGCCUGAUGAGGCCAAAGUCAGUUUCUUUGUUCCCAGUUCCUUCUCCACAGCAGAUCUGUGCUGCAACCCGACUGCGCUGCAGACCCGGUUGCUGCCGUGGGUCCAUCGCAGACAUGUUCACCUCUUGCUCCCGCACUUCGCAUGGGAGGUCUUUGCUUUCUCCACCACCUUGUAGCCUCCUGCCGCAGCUCAAGGGAGGGCGGCUCAGCCCAGCAGAGCUUGUGACAUAUGUGCUCUGUCCAUCCAUCCAUCCACCCACCUAGCUACCUACUGACUUACCUUUCCAUCCAUUCACCUCUCUUCAUCUCUCCACCCUGCUCGGGUCCAGCCAGGCCUGUGGUGUAACUGUGUGGGAGAGAGGGACCCCUCCUUAUGCAUCUCAAUACCCGAAAUGGGUGACCGGAAGGCCAGACUCGGAAGAUUCCUCCAUCCCGCAGCACCAGACCCCGCAGUCUUGGCCGUCACAGGUGUCCCGUGUCCACCCUGUCCUGGUUCCACCGCCGGCCUGUGCGGGGCUUCCCUGGGACA